rnacentral:rRNA from 1 species
CGGCAGGCCUAACACAUGCAAGUCGAGCGGUAGCACAGAGAGCUUGCUCUCGGGUGACGAGCGGCGGACGGGUGAGUAAUGUCUGGGAAACUGCCUGAUGGAGGGGGAUAACUACUGGAAACGGUAGCUAAUACCGCAUAACGUCGCAAGACCAAAGUGGGGACCUUCGGGCCUCAUGCCAUCAGAUGUGCCCAGAUGGGAUUAGCUAGUAGGUGGGGUAACGGCUCACCUAGGCGACGAUCCCUAGCUGGUCUGAGAGGAUGACCAGCCACACUGGAACUGAGACACGGUCCAGACUCCUACGGGAGGCAGCAGUGGGGAAUAUUGCACAAUGGGCGCAAGCCUGAUGCAGCCAUGCCGCGUGUGUGAAGAAGGCCUUCGGGUUGUAAAGCACUUUCAGCGGGGAGGAAGGCGUUAAGGUUAAUAACCUUGGCGAUUGACGUUACCCGCAGAAGAAGCACCGGCUAACUCCGUGCCAGCAGCCGCGGUAAUACGGAGGGUGCAAGCGUUAAUCGGAAUUACUGGGCGUAAAGCGCACGCAGGCGGUCUGUCAAGUCGGAUGUGAAAUCCCCGGGCUCAACCUGGGAACUGCAUUCGAAACUGGCAGGCUAGAGUCUUGUAGAGGGGGGUAGAAUUCCAGGUGUAGCGGUGAAAUGCGUAGAGAUCUGGAGGAAUACCGGUGGCGAAGGCGGCCCCCUGGACAAAGACUGACGCUCAGGUGCGAAAGCGUGGGGAGCAAACAGGAUUAGAUACCCUGGUAGUCCACGCUGUAAACGAUGUCGAUUUGGAGGUUGUGCCCUUGAGGCGUGGCUUCCGGAGCUAACGCGUUAAAUCGACCGCCUGGGGAGUACGGCCGCAAGGUUAAAACUCAAAUGAAUUGACGGGGGCCCGCACAAGCGGUGGAGCAUGUGGUUUAAUUCGAUGCAACGCGAAGAACCUUACCUGGUCUUGACAUCCACAGAACUUUCCAGAGAUGGAUUGGUGCCUUCGGGAACUGUGAGACAGGUGCUGCAUGGCUGUCGUCAGCUCGUGUUGUGAAAUGUUGGGUUAAGUCCCGCAACGAGCGCAACCCUUAUCCUUUGUUGCCAGCGGUCCGGCCGGGAACUCAAAGGAGACUGCCAGUGAUAAACUGGAGGAAGGUGGGGAUGACGUCAAGUCAUCAUGGCCCUUACGACCAGGGCUACACACGUGCUACAAUGGCAUAUACAAAGAGAAGCGACCUCGCGAGAGCAAGCGGACCUCAUAAAGUAUGUCGUAGUCCGGAUUGGAGUCUGCAACUCGACUCCAUGAAGUCGGAAUCGCUAGUAAUCGUAGAUCAGAAUGCUACGGUGAAUACGUUCCCGGGCCUUGUACACACCGCCCGUCACACCAUGGGAGUGGGUUGCAAAAGAAGUAGGUAGCUUAACCUUCGGGAGGGCGCUUACCACUUUGUGAUUCAUGACUGGGGUG